rnacentral:rRNA from 1 species
UGGGGAAUAUUGGACAAUGGGGGCAACCCUGAUCCAGCAAUGCCGCGUGGGUGAAGAAGGUUUUCGGAUUGUAAAGCCCUUUUGGCGGGGACGAUGAUGACGGUACCCGCAGAAUAAGCUCCGGCUAACUUCGUGCCAGCAGCCGCGGUAAUACGAAGGGGGCUAGCGUUGCUCGGAAUGACUGGGCGUAAAGGGCGCGUAGGCGGCUUACAUAGUUAGGCGUGAAAUUCCUGGGCUCAACCUGGGGACUGCGUCUAAUACAUGUAGGCUUGAGUGUGAAAGAGGGUCGUGGAAUUUCCAGUGUAGAGGUGAAAUUCGUAGAUAUUGGAAAGAACACCGGUGGCGAAGGCGGCGACCUGGUUCAUUACUGACGCUGAGGCGCGAAAGCGUGGGGAGCAAACAGG